GGCUCUCCCACAUAUAAGCUCAUGGAGACUAUCUCAAAGCAAAGUUAGUCAAAAUUAUAUCUUACUCGUCUGAUUUAUAAGUUACACUUCUCAAAUCAAUUUUCACUUACAUAAUGCAUUUCUCUGAAUAUUGUUCACAUAUUCAUAUUUUUAAUAUCUGACAUAUAUACUACCAUGGAAGUAUAAUCGUACUGAAAAUCAUAUAAAAUAUACAAUCACAUGCCAAAUCAAAUUUAUCAAUGUAAAUGACAUAAUACAAAUCUACCAACACAAGUAAAUAACAUGUAUAUAUACUUAAUGGUAAUCCAAUAUAAGAAUUCUUAUAUCUAUUGCAAUCGAACAAGCUACAAUGCUUUCAAUCAACACUUCAACUUCUUACACAAUUUACAUCUCGUUUAAAACCCACGGUGUCAAAAAUCUUGUUUAACCGUUCCCAUAUCUUGCAAAUUAUUCUCCUGCAAUACCAAAUAUAUUAUGAAAGUUAUAAACUGAUAUUUAACUAGCAAAUAUGGCAAAGAAAUAUAUAUAUAACAUCACCAACAUUUCCAACGCUCUGCCACAUGCAUGCAUGGAUGUGCUGCCCGGCAUGACAUGAUG
rnacentral:lncRNA from 1 species